rnacentral:lncRNA from 10 species
AUCCAUUUUCAAAAUUCUCUAGGCAAACAACACAUUCAGUACAGUGCAGCAUAUCAGCAGGCCAAGUUAACCAAUCAGGUUCCAUAUCUUCAUUAGUGUUAUAUGAUCCAUAUGACCUCCCCUUCCUUUCACAUGGGCUGGUCUGACAAUAUUUAUUGGCACAUGAACAAGCCUCAGCAUCACAGUGACUUGCUGUUCCUGGAGAAUUGUGAAGUACGCUUUGCUUAUCUUCAAAUACUUCCUUCUCACUACUCAAAGUGUCUGUGUUCUCACUUUCCGAGUCAUUUUCAGUAUCUUGAGACCCCUCCGACAUUUCCUCUUCAGACUGGACUCCAAGACAUUUAAAUCGCCACAUUGAGACUAUACGUAACAUGGACCUGGAAAAGCUUAAAAAUAUGAAGAGGAUUGAACUGGCUGCCAUCUGUGCAUCUUCAUUUAUGAAAACACUCCUCAUAGACUUAAAACAAAUGACAGAGAACAAAUUAGUCAGCUUCUUCUAAAAUACAGUGGUCUCCCCUUACCCUCAGUUUCACUUUCUGCAGUCAACUGCAGUCCGAAAAUACUACAUACAAUUAGAUAUUCGGAGAGAGAGACACCACAUUUACAUAAAUGUUAUUUCAGUAUACUGUUAUAAUUGUUCUAUUUUUAUUAGUUGUUGUUGUUACUGUGCCUAACUUACACAUUAAACUUUAUCACAGGUAUGUAUGUAUAGGAAAAAACAUAGACUAUAUAGGAUUUGGUACUAUCCACGGUUUCAGGCAUCCACUGGGGGUCUUGGAACGCAUCCCCCUCAGAUAAGGGGGGACUACUGUAAACAGAAAAUAACAACAAUUCAAAUUGUUAAAAACAAUUCUUGAAAGUUAUCCUUUACAAUAGAUUAAUAUAUAUGAUCUGAGCUGAAAGAAUGGCAAGCAAUGGAGACAAUAUUUCUCUUCUGUUUCUAGUAGAUAUUUUCAAUUUUAAGCAUAGUUUUAAAAAGUACAACCCUCUUUUAAGGGCUUAAACCAAGGUGGCUGUGCUGAUUGGCUUAGCUGGCUAGUUCACAGUGCCAAGGACAGGGUUUCAAUCUCAUUCUUCUCAGUUGUCCUGCCAGAGAUUGUUCUUUCAGACCAGGCCAGCCAUUUGACAGAUGUAAGCCACUGGCCUCAAGGAACACAAGCCAGACAGUGGUGGUCAAUGCAAACCUUGAGCAUCACUGGAAAAAUUAAGCAGGUGUCCUACUGCAUUAUUUCCAUACAUAGAAAAACCACAGAAAUACAUUCUAUUUUUAAAGAGUUGUUUUUCAACUAUUAAUACCUAUAAGGUUUAAAAAUAUUUUCAGAGAAAAAAAAUUUAGCAACUAGAAUUUAUAAUGCUACCAUUUACUAUCAUUAUUUGUCCUUCACUUCAUUUGUCACCUUACCAGAGAAUUCCUUGCCACUCUCAUCUCCUUAAUCUGCUUAUUUUUCUUCUUACUACUUUCCACUAACUGAUGUUAUAUUAAAUAUUUAUUUAUUUGGUGUCUGCCUCUCCCAACUAGAAUGUGAGCUGCCUGACAGAGCAAGGCCUUAGCUUGGUGUGUGUUUCUGGUAUAUCUUCAGGGCCCAGAACAGGGCCUGGCACACCCACAACUGAAUAAACUUUUGAUGAAUUCUGUCACAUAUUUAUUACAGGAGCUUAAUUCAUGGAUAUCUUUAACAGGACAUCAAAAACAGUAGAUCAUUUACAAGCCAAGAACAUACUGCUAACUAUUGAACCAGAAUGUAUUUGUUGUCUAUAGGCAGCAGCCUAUAUAGCAAAAGAACUCAAGACUUUUGACAUAGCCCUUCCAAGUUUCAAAGGUGUGCAACAUCUUCACCAUUUAUUUCCAUGGGAUCAUUCAAUGUGGGUGACAUUUAGACACUGAAAGCAGGGCAGUGGGACUGGCUAUUCAAUUCAUCCUCAGUAAUAAAAUCUAAAAUUAUCAAAA